AACGGUUUAAAUGUUGUUUAAUGGAAAAGAUACAACUGAAUCAUUAGUUUCAUCAGAUCAUCGUAUUUAUAUAUAGUAACAAAUACUGUAUUCCAUCACCGCCACCACUAGCACGCAAAAUUAUGCCUUGUGCUGUAUCAGACUUCCAAAUUAUGCCACCCGGCCGCUGGACACUGCCCCUCCCUCAGCGGCGGCGAGACGCCCUCCAUCGUCUUCCCCACGCGCCACGCGGCCAUGGCUGCCGGUGAUGGAGCCUCAUCGACGCCCCGACCGGUGACUCCAUGGCCAAAUCCAGUGCUACCGCGGCCGGAUGUGUCGCUCCCCCACUAGAUCUGUCUGGGUAAUGGCUCUCUGGUUGCAACUUGCAGGAACAAACUGGCGACUGGGUGGGCGGCGUUGUGCUGCUGCUAUCCGUGGAGCAUCGGAGGGGCGCCCAGACCACAGCAGCGGAGCAGCCGACGCCAAGAUAGCACGUAUCAAGCCAGCCGCAGCACCAGGCAGCUGCAGACGGGAGGAAACUGGGCAGGCCACCAAGAUAUAGCAGGCGGAGCAGCAGAAGGGAUAGGCAAGAAAGGGGGGAAGGAUGUUCCAGUGGCUCCAAGUUGAAACGUCGAUCUGAAGUGUCCUAAUAUGCCCAAUCUAUUCCAUGUAUGCCCAAUAUUACUUUGACAAUUUGAAUGAAUAGAGCAGACAACUGCAGCCAAAUCUGUUUUAUUCUUCUGGCCAGCUUGGAACUUCAAGUGCUGUACACAUGGUGACAUGGAUAAGCAUCAUUGGCAUAAAGCGACCUCAUAAAAUUGAGAUGCAAGAACAAAGAUGCAAUAUUCUUUCUGGUGCUGGAUGGAAUGAUGUAUGGAGUGAUCAACCUAACAAUACAAGCAAAGUUCUGAUGGCCAGAUUGCCUAGGCCAAUGAAAUCAGCCUUUCAUUGUCUAGACUUUCUUCGCCCAUCCGAUUGUAUUUUUGCUGCUCAGGAAUAUCACAAAUAAACAAAAACUUUAUAGGGUAUCAGAAUCUCACUUCCAAUUCGAUGCCAAAGAAGAGCAGGCUGGGCAGUGAAUGGACAGAUUGAUGGACCUAGAACCAAGAAAGCCAAUAGAUGGCAACUAUUGCAGUUGUGGACCUAGCAGAUGAAAGGUGGCCUCGACGAAUUUGUACAAAUGGCAGUGGCAAUAUAACAAAUGUUGUAUUGAAUUGUACCGUUAUUUUGUAGAUAAAGUAACAAUAACCACCAUGGCUAUUGAGCAGCCAUUUCAUAUCAGUAUAUGCAUUAUUUG